rnacentral:rRNA from 1 species
GAUGAACGCUGGCGGCGUGCCUAAUACAUGCAAGUCGAGCGAACAGACGAGGAGCUUGCUCCACUGACGUUAGCGGCGGACGGGUGAGUAACACGUGGAUAACCUACCUAUAAGACUGGGAUAACUUCGGGAAACCGGAGCUAAUACCGGAUAAUAUAUUGAACCGCAUGGUUCAAUAGUGAAAGACGGAAUUGCUUUCACCUAUAGAUGGAUCCGCGCCGCAUUAGCUAGUUGGUAAGGUAACGGUUUACCAAGGCAACGAUCCGUAGCCGACCUGAGAGGGUGAUCGGCCACACUGGAACUGAGACACGGUCCAGACUCCUACGGGAGGCAGCAGUAGGGAAUCUUCCGCAAGGGGCGAAGGCCUGACGGAGCAACGCCGCUUGAGUGAUGAAGGUCUUCGGAUCGUAAAACUCUGUUAUUAGGGAAGACCAAAUGUGUAAGUAACUAUGCACGUCUUGACGGUACCUAAUCAGAAAGCCACGGCUAACUACGUG